rnacentral:rRNA from 1 species
UGCAGUCGAGCGGGCAGCAGGUUUGUAGCAGUACCAAUGCUGGCCACCGGCAAACGGGUGAGGAAUACGUACAGAACCUUCCNUCAAGCGGGGAAUAGCCCAGAGAAAUUUGCAUUAAUACCCCAUAAUAAAACGAAAAGGCAUCUCUUUGUUUUUAAAGAAUUUAUUCACUUGAAGACGGCUGUAUGGCUGAUUAGGUAGUUGGCGGGGUAACGGCCCACCAAGCCUACGAUCAGUAACUGGUGUGAGAGCACCACCAGUCACACGACUGCUGACACACGGGCCCCACUCCUACAGGAGGCGCAAUAAGGAAUAUUGGUCAAUGGACGCCGUCUGAACCAGCCAUGCCGCGUGAAGGAUGAAGGUCCUCUGGAUUGUAUACUUCUUUUAGAUGGGACGAAAAAAGGCCUUUCUAGGUCAUCUGACGGUACCAUAUGAAUAAGCACCGGAAAACUCCGUGCC